AUUGAACGCUGGCGGCAGGCCUAACACAUGCAAGUCGAGCGGCAGCGGAAAGUAGCUUGCUACUUUGCCGGCGAGCGGCGGACGGGUGAGUAAUGUCUGGGAAACUGCCUGAUGGAGGGGGAUAACUACUGGAAACGGUAGCUAAUACCGCAUAACGUCGCAAGACCAAAGAGGGGGACCUUCGGGCCUCUUGCCAUCAGAUGUGCCCAGAUGGGAUUAACUAGUAGGUGGGGUAACGGCUCACCUAGGCGACGAUCCCUAGCUGGUCUGGAGGGAUGACCAGCCACACUGGAACUGAGACACGGUCCAGACUCCUACGGGAGGCAGCAGUGGGGAAUAUUGCACAAUGGGCGCAAGCCUGAUGCAGCCAUGCCGCGUGUAUGAAGGAGGCCUUCGGGUUGUAAAGUACUUUCAGCGAGGAGGAAGGCGUUGUGGUUAAUAACCGCAGCGAUUGACGUUACUCGCAGAAGAAGCACCGGCUAACUCCGUGCCAGCCGCCGCAGUAA
rnacentral:rRNA from 1 species